CAAGAGUGUGGGACCGCCCCACCCUCUACAUUCUUGUACUCUAUGCUUUGCUAUAAAUAAAGGUACAAGGAGCUGCUCAGCGCGUCUCUGCCUCAGAACGUGAGCUGAGCAGGGUGCCCUUGUACAAGAAAUCUCUUUGUCUGUGUUUGAUCUGUUUCUCUCCUCUCAGUUCUGUGAUCCAGGUUGGAGUCAGCCCGCUGGAGGCGGUAAUCCUCUGACAUAAUUCUUGGUCCUUCGAGCCGGAUGGGAAGCCUGAGAUCCCGCUGAGUGGUUAACCUGAAGUCUGUCGACAGCCAGUCACCCAGGGUGUCUGAAAAGACCCAGGACGUGAAUUCGGACCUGGGCCAGGGUUAGAACCAACCCUCACGGUGAUUCUCUGGUUUUCCAUCCGAACUACAGAUCACCAGAACGGGAGUGAGUAUCGACACGCAAAGAGAGUGAAUGAUUUACAAAGCGCUCGGAUGAGAACAAAAGGCCCUAAUGGAUGAGUGCAAAAGUCCCAGAUAAAUGUCCAGUCAGAGGCAUUAAGUAGCUACAGAACAGUCAGUCAGUACUGUUACAAAUACCCAGUCAGUGGUAUUAUGAGUGAAUGAGUCUGUUUGUGUUCUGUGUUUUGAGAAACGCUCAUUAAAAAACUCUAGUGAGUUUGCGAUCUCAAUUUUUUAUUUUAUCCAAUAAGGAUCACGUACAAACGGUGUUUUGAGUAAGCUCUACCCGCAGUAAAUUAGUUACUGUAGAAGCUUGGUGGAGGAACUUCACUCAAUUUCACCUCAUGUUUGUGACAUCCUUAGAGGAACCCUCAUAGUGUAAAACUAAAAUUAAAAGAGUUUGGUAAUUAUCCAUUUUGUAUCUAAAGACGGAGAAAUAAAAACUGAACAUUUCUGGACCCCUCCGUCAAUAAACUCUCUACUAGUAGAUUUACAAGUUGGAACAUUUUAUGAGAGCGGUGGAAUAAUAGUAAAUAACAGAGAAAUUAACCUAGAAACAGCAGAAGAAAUAGUAUUUAAAUUGGAGUGUUCUGACAUAGACAGAGAACAUGGGGAGUAAAUCAUCGCAACCUUUAUCCAAGGACGGUCUGUUCAUGGAGAAAAAGCCUCCCUGGAGCAGGCCAGAUAAGCAUAAGAUGGAUAAGAAAACAUAAUUUCACUGGAAAACUGGACACUAAAGAUGUCCUGCGUCUCCAAGUCGAUCUAAAAACAGAAAUAUCUCAAAUAACGAAAAAGAAGAAAAAGGGCAAGAGAACAGAAGAGUAUGAGCUAAGUGAGAAAUGGUUAGAGGAAAGUCAGCGUAGAGACAAACAAAGACAGGAAGGAUUGGCAGAGUUAGGGAGAACUCGAGCAGAGGAACGAAGAAGGAAAGAUAAGAAAAAGAAAGACAAGCUAAUGACCUCAGUCUUGUACCCAAACAAUGAACUGGGGAAAGUAGUAACCCAGCACAAGACAAGGUCAGAUAGCGACCAAGAGGAUUAUGACGAAGAGAUAGAGGACUGUGAGGACUGUGGACCACACCCGACCGCACGACCACAGUGUCCACUCAUAGAAGUUGCAAACCCAAGGUUUGGCCAGCCUACGGGUGAGCAAGAUGGUAAUGGGAGACCACGAGUGGACCAAGAACCGACUAUGCUAGUUUACAGACCAUGGAGCGCACAUGACAGACGCAGAGCGACAAAAGACAUACCACACCCCAAAGUAGACCCUGACAAGUUCAGACGUGACAUGGACGGUAUACGACUAAGUUACAAAUUAAAUGGACAUGAGCUCACAGACUGUUUUAUGGACGUGCUAACAGCCGACUGGCACCGAGUUAGAGGCAAUUUUACAGACUCUGAAGCAAAUGGUCAGGCUUUAAGACAUGAUUCACAGCAAUUGACAGCACAAUUACAAGUACUGUAUGCUGCCAUAGAACAUGAAUGGCCGCAACGAUCUAAUUUUAAUGCCAUAACUGAAACCAUCCAGAAAGAGGGAGAAAGUGCUGCUGAUUACAGACAUAGGUUAGAGAAGGUCUAUCGUUUGAAUUCUGGCGUGCCAUAUAAUGAUGAGGCAGGCAGCGCUUACCAACAACAACUGAAAAUGUUUUUCAUUAAAGGUCUAAGAACACAAACUAGAGAAAAAGUGCAAAAGCACUGGGUGCAUCAAGACACAGGAACUGUGGCCCAGGCAGUAGAGCAGGCCAAGCAUUUUGAAAAACAACAAAAAGAUAAAGAGGAACAGAAAGCAGUGUUUCUUGUUGAUGCACAAACUGUUCUUGCUUAUCAAGGACACCCCUCCUUCCCAGGCAGAGGGAGAGGCAGAGGGCGUGGGAGAGGUAGAGGCUCAAGAUAUAAUUCUUCCCAGCAACGCUCUCAACAAGAAAUGACACCACAAAAACAUUAUGACUGGCUAAACAACCAUUGCUUUGUCUGCCAUAAGCCAGGGCAUCGUGCCAAAGACUGCAAAAUGAGCGCACAAAAUACUUCAUGACGAGAAGGCGUGAUAGGAACUGAAAAUCAUGCUGUAAAGCAAAAUCCACAAGCCACACCUGUAACGGAAAUUGAUGACAAAACAGACACUGAGACAGAUACUCGUGUCCAGCUUGAUAUAUUUAGUUUAUUAAAAGACAAACAAGUUACUGAACCAAUGAGAAAACUAACAAUAAAUGGAAAAGCCUACAUGUUUCUAUGUGACAGUGGAGCAUGUACUACAGUUGUACGUCAACCUUUUCCUGGAAUGAAAAUGUCAAACAAAACCAUUUGGGUUAGAUCAGCAUCUGGACAUGUCAUGAAACAACGCAUGACUCAACCUGCAAUGAUAAGAGAUUUAGACAGCGGGCAGGAGACCAAAAUUUCAAUCAUGGUAGAUCCCUCCUGCCCAUUAAAUCUUUUGGGGAGAGAUCUCCUAACAGUUUUGAAAAUAGCCAUUAUUCCCACCGCAGACGGGGGAAUGACAACUGCCACUGUAGAAGGAGACUAUCAAAUGUUAAGACAAGGAAUGACUGAACCACACCAUUACUGGAGUCUUGACCUUUUACACACACAAUUAGCCACCACCCUCCUUACAGAGGCGAAAGAAAAGCUUAAAGAAGUGAUGAAGACCACACCUGGUCCAGAUGAACGUUAUGAUCAACAAGUUCAUCAGUUGAAAAAUCCAACUACAAUCUGCAUUCAAAAUCUUUUUGUUUCACACAUGGGUCAAAGUUGCUGUUCAGUAAUACUCAAACCAGAUCAACAAAAACUAAGUCACCAACAUGAGCCACAUGUCUCUUUAACCAAAGACAUUAGGCAUGAGUGGAAACACAUGAAUGCAUUUGUAGAACGAGCAAAAAGACAGGAUUAUGGACCACCUGACAAAUCAGGAUGGAGCCAAAGCAAAGACAUGUACAUAUGGAAAAAGACUGUAGGAAAUUACACUCCAGUCUCGCCUCAAUCACAUUUAGACGCCCCAGAUUGACCUGUUGAAGUGAACUGUGCGUUAGAUAAUUCACAAUUGCAAGAGUUAAGAAAACUACCUGAUCAAGUUUGGUCUAAUGGUCCCACAGAUGUAGGACUAAUCAAAGACUUACCACCAAUUAAGAUAGAAACUAAACCACAUCCAAGUAUAAUUCAGAGACAAUAUCCGCUUUCAAAAGAAGCCAUA
ensembl:lncRNA